rnacentral:tRNA from 1 species
CCCCCCAUAGCCCAAUCGGCAGAGGCAGCGGACUUAAACUCCGCUCAGUCUGGGUUCGAAUCCCAGUGGGGGGACCG